rnacentral:lncRNA from 1 species
GAGCCUAGUCAGCGCUGCGCUGUGUUCCGCCUCAUUCGCUGAGCGGGUCCGUGGUUUGCCAGCGCGCUCUGGGCGACUGCUGAGCCAGGCGACCGCCGAGCUUGCGGCGAUCCCCGUCAGGUGCCCCGCAGAGCCAAUGCGCCCAGGUGCGGCGGGGCAAGAGCAGCCGGCGGUUCCGGGCAACUUGGGACUGAGGAUCUGCUGCAGGGGCGUGGAUUUGGCGUCUCUACUGGGCCAGGAGGGUGAGUAGCCGCGCCGUGAAAGCGGCUCCUCCGCGCCGGGUUGCCAGCGAGCCGAAGACCGCGUCGGUGCUGGCGGGUGGGAGCGUGGCGGCUGUGGAAGGGCAAGGCAAGGCAGGAGACACUUACUCUCUGUCAGCGUCCCGGCUCCCGAACUUCUGGUUUUCAAAGCAUCCCAACUCGGCCCAGGACAUGCCUGUGCGUCGGAACCGACUUGGCGUUGGUGGUUGCCACCCUUAGGUCCCAGACGCGCCCCUGCCCCUCUGCGGCGGCGACACGGGCGCGCGGGGACACCUCGGUGCGCACACAGCAGUUCCUAGAUGGCUUGAGAGUGGUUCCUAAACAUUAACCGGCGCCCGAGCCGGCGUGCGCAGCGAGCGCUGGUCGCGUUCCGACUGAGAACUGGAGGGACCCGCUGGGGACAGUAGCAGGCCUCUUUCGUACUCUGCAGAUCCAAAGAAAAUGACAGCGGUGCUGAACAUUAAACUUUGGGAAGUAAUUGCUUCCUGUCAGCCUUUGAAUGUGCGCCCCUCUUCCCGGGUUGCUCAGACCUCCGCAUCUGCUACAAGGUGUGUCUGAGGAACUUGGUUAGGACCAGCAGGGAGCGUAGAGGCCAACACCAGGCUGGGUGUCCCCCAGCCUGUUUUGGUGGUGUUCAUUAAAACACCUGCGUGUUUUACGUGAUGAAGUUGUGGCAAGAACUGACAACUGAGGAUUCAAGGUUAGACCUGACACUUUGUUGCUAAGCUCAGGUUACACUGUCCCCCGUUUCCUCUUGUAGUAAAUGCAGCUUGAUUUUUUUUUCUGAGUGCAGUUGCAUGCAGCUUAUAUUCUGUGUGGACUAAAUAGAAUUCAGUGCAAUAUUGCCUUGCAAUUCUUAUUUGAUUUGAAUGAGAGCUUAUUAAGAAGACUAUGGAGAGUUGGCUCUGGUGUUGGGAAUAGUUCUGUCUUUUAUAAUACAUAAAACGUUGAGUUAUGUCAUAUAUGGAUGUACAAGUGCAUAUAUCUGAAUCUAUGUGCAGGAUUGAUAGGGGGCUGAGGUAGAAAUAUAUAAAGAAUUAACUCAGCCUUGAACUUCCUCUCGCUUAUAGAGAUGAACGCGCUUAGCUAUAAGGUAUAUAUUGUCCUGUAUGUGUAAGCAUGUCUGACUCUUGUCUGGUCUGUCUGAGUCAGUAUAUGUCCGUAAACUUUACGAGCACUCAGUUCAAUACCACUCAGUACAGAUUCCGCGUUCCUGUUUUACAGCCCAGCCGCCGCCAGCCAGCCCAUCUGUUAAAACAUAGCAUGUACACUUCAGCCAGAACACUGGGGUGGAUAGUGGGUAGGGGGCAAUCCUUAGGAAAACAACACGCUACAAACAAAGCCUUUCGCUUGACUUCUAUUUUCAGCUAUUAUUUGGCCAGAACUUACAGCUUUAAUGAGGGUGAAGCAGGGAAUGGUGUCUCUUAGAACAGGGGGGAGUAUUUUCUGAUAUAAUUGUAGCCAUAAUUUAGGAGGGGGAAUUAUAGAAGAAGAAAAAAAUCCCCUGAGAAGAACUGUGGUUGUUACCUCGACAGCAAGGUUGGUUGGCAGUAACAUGUAUAUCACAAACUGUUGUCUUUUGCUUCAGAGGAUGUACUAAAAAUAAAUUGUUUUGAACACACACACACAGUUUAAUAAAAGUAAAUAGAACUUUACUGCCAAGGCUGAAGUUAAGAUUGCCUUACUAAUCCUAAUGAAACAUGCCUUUAGGAAUUGAUACCCUGGAAAUCAGUUCAUAUUUGGCCUAAUCACUAGUAACAAUGGUUCACAAUGUGUAGCUUAAAAAAUAAUAAAAAGGCUUUAUCAUAAAAAUUCUGAUGACUAAAAAAGUAUGGGAGGAGUAUUAUUAUAACAGCUUGUUAAGUUCCUGCUGGCAAGUGACUGAUACUUAAAAAAGCUAUAAAUUCCUUUAAUGGUAUAGUUACUUUUAGUGACAAUAGGGACAGCACCUUCAUGAAGCACAGUUGAUCUUUUUCACAGUCAUUUUAUGUUCUUGAUUACAGUUUAAUAGUGGUGUUCAUUAUAAACUGGAGUGGUUUUAAGAAUCCAUCACAAGUGUUUUUGUUUUUAUGUUACAUAAAAUUUGGAUGAAAUACGUAAAUCCCUAAUAUAUAUGUCUAAAUGUAUGAAGGGCUAUACAGAUCCUCCUGGCUUCACAUGAAUCCUCCAAAUAAACUGAAUAGCCCCAUGGGAAUUCUGUUCUUGUCCUAGAAUUACUUCUGGGGCCUAGGGUAGCUUAGGAAUCUGCAUUUUCAAGCACUCAAGACGUGUUCUGAUACGAGGGACUUGAACUUGAACAUCAAGAAGUACUGGAAUGGUGUUUAGGAAAUAAAAUAACAUGAUCUAUGAGUUGACACAAUUGAUUAUUCAGAAAUUCCAGGUGGUAUUUACUGGCCUUAUAAAAUUGAUAGUUUAACUCUCUCAGCAAAGGCCUCUUUGCCCUGUGCCUGUAAUCUUCAGUCAUUCCUAUUCUGAAUUGGCCCCAAUUUUAAGGAAGUCUAGAUGGAGAAGCAAGAUAAUAAAUACCUCACCUCAGUCUUGGGUCUCUGCUGUCUGUUUCUGUACCAGAGAUGCUGGGAUGUUCUGGGCUGACUCGGCCAACCCUAAUGCACAUCGUUCCUUCAUUUCUCCAAGAGAUGAAAAGAGAGCCCUUUUUAUCUCUUGGUGCUAGGACAGAAGUAUGCACAUAAUCAGGGCUAGCACGGACUUAAACGGAAUCAAGUGUUUCCUCGGGAAACUCUAGCUACUUGGCUGACCAGCCAUGAGCCCCACCCACCAUGAUACACUCUGAAAGUUAAUUUAGAUUUACUUUAAGCUGUUCCUCAGAAAUUGAAAAUACACUGUUUAGCUGUAUUCUUACUGAAAUCUGGGUUAGUUUUUAUUUAUAAAUUAUUAACAAUUAGUCUUUUUUUACUCAACCUUCUGAUCCUGACAUGUGCAUUCUGUGUUUCGUUCUUCUAUUCCAUACUGAUAAAAUUGUCUACAUUAGACUUUUAGGUGAGGUUUGAAAGAGAAUGUGUCUGUAUCAGAAGUUGUCCUCUCUAACAUUCAAGUUU